ACAGGUCCCUAUGUCAUGCUGUUCUGCACUUUGACUCCAAUGAGGAACAAGAGGGUGUGUGCUGUGGCUUCCCGGGAUGCAGCCUCAGCCAGGAGCAUAUGGAAACACUGUGCUGUGCACUGAGCAAGUGCAAUGCCCUCAGCCAGCUUGAUCUCACAGACAAUCUGCUGGGUGACAUCGGGCUCAGGUGCCUUCUGGAGUGCCUGCCACAGCUGCCCAUCUCUGGGUGGCUUGACCUCAGUCACAACAAUAUCUCUCAGGAAGGGAUCCUGUACCUGCUGGAGACUCUGCCUUCCUACCCUAAUAUCCAAGAGGUCUCUGUGAGUCUGAGCUCUGAGCAGAUCUUCCGAAUGUGC
rnacentral:lncRNA from 1 species